AGCAGCCGCGGUAAUUCCAGCUCCAAUAGCGUAUAUUAAAGUUGUUGCAGUUAAAAAGCUCGUAGUUGAAUUUCGGGAUUGGCGCAUCGGUCGUGCCUCACGGGGUAUGAACUGGUGCAGUCAAUUUCUCACCUUCUGGAGAACCGCGAUGUCCUUAAUUGGAUGCCGCGGGGAACCAGGACCUUUACUUUAGAAAAAUUAGAGUGUUUAAAGCAGGCAUUUUUGCUUGAAUACAUUAGCAUGGAAUAAUAAAAUAGGACGGCAUGGCUCUAUUUUGUUGGUUUCUAGGACCACCGUAAUGAUUAAUAGGGAUAGUUGGGGGCAUUAGUAUUCAAUUGUCAGAGGUGAAAAUUCUUGGAUUUAUUGAAGAUUAACUACUGCGAAAGCAUUUGCCAAGGAUGUUUUCAUUAAUCAAGAACGAAAGUUAGGGGAUCGAAGACGAUCAGAUACCGUCGUAGUCUUAACCAUAAACUAUGAC
rnacentral:rRNA from 1 species